rnacentral:rRNA from 1 species
UACGGGGGGGGCAAGCGUUGUUCGGAAUUACUGGGCGUAAAGGGCUCGUAGGCGGAUUGUUAAGUCGGGGGUGAAAUCCUGGAGCUCAACUUCAGAAUUGCCUUCGAUACUGGCUUUCUAGAGGCUGGAAGAGGUUAGUGGAAUUCCCAGUGUAGAGGUGAAAUUCGUAGAUAUUGGGAAGAACACCAGUGGCGAAGGCGGCUAACUGGUCCAGAUCUGACGCUGAGGUGCGAAAGCGUGGGGAGCAAACAGG